UCAAAACGACUCUCGGCAACGGAUAUCUCGGCUCUCGCAUCGAUGAAGAACGUAGCGAAAUGCGAUACUUGGUGUGAAUUGCAGAAUCCCGUGAACCAUCGAGUCUUUGAACGCAAGUUGCGCCCGAARCCAUUAGRCCGAGGGCACKUCUGCMUGGGYGUCAC
rnacentral:rRNA from 1 species